UGCAAGUCGAGGGGCAGCAUAGAGUUUAGCAAUAAAACUCGGAUGGCGACCGGCGCACGGGUGAGUAACACGUAUCCAACCUGCCUUUUAUUCGGGGAUAGCCUUGCGAAAGUAAGAUUAACACCCGAUGGUAUUGGGAUUCCGCAUGGAAAUCCAAUUAAAAGCAAUGAUAAAGAUGGGGAUGCGUUCCAUUAGGCAGUUGGCGGGGUAACGGCCCACCAAACCGACGAUGGAUAGGGGUUCUGAGAGGAAGGUCCCCCACAUUGGAACUGAGACACGGUCCAAACUCC
rnacentral:rRNA from 1 species